GAAAUGCGAUAAGUAAUGUGAAUUGCAGAAUUCAGUGAAUCAUCGAAUCUUUGAACGCACAUUGCGCCCGGCAGCAAUCUGCCGGGCAUGCCUGUCCGAGCGUCAUUUCUGCCCUCGAGCGCGGUUCGGCCCCUAGCGGGCCGGCCGCCGCCCGGUGUUGGGGCGCUGCGGGCCCUCGUGCCCGCAGGCCCUGAAAUGAAGUGGCGGUCCCGCCGCGGCGCCCCCUGCGUAGUAGUAAAGCACCUCGCAUCGGGUCCCGGCGGAGGCCAGCCGUCGAACCUCUCUUUUGAUGGUUUGACCUGGGAUCAGGUAGGGUUACCCGCUGAACUUAAGC
rnacentral:misc_RNA from 1 species